rnacentral:rRNA from 1 species
GAUGAACGCUAGCGGCAGGCUUAAUACAUGCAAGUCAAGGGGGUAGCAAUACAACCGGCGCACGGGUGAGUAACGCGUACACAACAUACCAUAUACUGGAGUAUAGCUUUGGGAAACUGAAGGUAAUCCUCCAUAACAUUGCGAGAGGGCAUCUGAUUGCAAUUAAAGUUCCGGCGGUAUAUGAUUGGUGUGCGUUUGAUUAGCUAGUUGGUAGGGUAACGGCCUACCAAGGCGACGAUCAAUAGCUGGCGUGAGAGCGCGACCAGCCACACUGGAACUGAGACACGGUCCAGACUCCUACGGGAGGCAGCAGUAGGGAAUAUUGGACAAUGGGCGAAAGCCUGAUCCAGCCAUGCCGCGUGAUAGAUGAAGGCCCUCUGGGUUGUAAAUAUCUUUUAUCUGGGAAGAAACUCCUCUAUUCUUAGAGGCCUGACGGUACCAGAGGAAUAAGCACCGGCUAACUCCGUGCCAGCAGCCGCGGUAAAGUA